UACGGGGGGGGCAAGCGUUGUUCGGAAUUACUGGGCGUAAAGGGCUCGUAGGUGGCCAACUAAGUCGGACGUGAAAUCCCUCGGCUUAACCGGGGAACUGCGUCCGAUACUGGUUGGCUUGAGUUUGGGAGAGGGAUGCGGAAUUCCAGGUGUAGCGGUGAAAUGCGUAGAUAUCAGGAGGAACACCUAUGGCGAAGGCAGCUCGCUGGGACGGUACUGACGCUGAGACGCGAAAGCGUGGGGAGCGAACAGG
rnacentral:rRNA from 1 species